rnacentral:rRNA from 1 species
GGUUACUGCUAUCGAGGUUCGACUAAGCCAUGCGAGUCGAAUGUAGCAAUACAUGGCGAACUGCUCAGUAACACGUGGACAACCUGCCCUUAGGACGGGGAUAAACCCGGGAAACUGGGUAUAAUACCCGAUAGGUCUCGAUUGCUGGAAUGCAUCGAGAUUUAAAGCUCCGGCGCCUAAGGAUGGGUCUGCGGCCUAUCAGGUAGUAGUGGGUGUAGCGUACCUACUAGCCUACGACGGGUACGGGUUGUGAGAGCAAGAGCCCGGAGAUGGAUUCUGAGACACGAAUCCAGGCCCUACGGGGUGCAGCAGGCGCGAAAACUUUACAAUGCUGGCAACAGCGAUAAGGGAACCUCGAGUGCCAGGUUACAAAUCUGGCUGUCGAGAUGCCUAAAAAGCAUUUCAUAGCAAGGGCCGGGCAAGACCGGUGCCAGCCGCCGCGGUAACACCGGCGGCUCGAGUGGUAACCGUUAUUAUUGGGUCUAAAGGGUCUGUAGCCGGCCGGAUAAGUCUCUUGAGAAAUCUGGCAGCUUAACUGUCAGGCUUUCAGGAGAUACUGUCUGGCUCGAGGCCGGGAGAGGUGAGAGGUACUUCAGGGGUAGGGGUGAAAUCUUGUAAUCCUUGAAGGACCACCAGUGGCGAAGGCGUCUCACCAGAACGGACCUGACGGCAAGGGACGAAAGCUAGGGGCACGAACCGGAUUAGAUACCCGGG